UACGGGGGGGGCAAGCGUUGUUCGGAAUUACUGGGCGUAAAGGGCUCGUAGGCGGCCAACUAAGUCAGACGUGAAAUCCCUCGGCUUAACCGGGGAACUGCGUCUGAUACUGGAUGGCUUGAAUCCGGGAGAGGGAUGCGGAAUUCCAGGUGUAGCGGUGAAAUGCGUAGAUAUCUGGAGGAACACCGGUGGCGAAGGCGGCAUCCUGGACCGGCAUUGACGCUGAGGAGCGAAAGCCUGGGGAGCAAACGGG
rnacentral:rRNA from 1 species